UUCAGCCUGGGGAGAGGUAGCAAGCAGGCCUCCACGGUGAGGCCGUACCACACAUGAGUACAAUGCAGGCACUGGAACAGCACUGGUAGAAAGGGAAGGGCAAACCAAAACUUAAGAAAACCUAGUUUCAGUUAAAAGCAGAGUGAAGAUGGGUUUGGUCUGAUUAGCAGUGGUGGCUCCUCUGUGGUCUGGGGGUGGCUCUGGCCUCCAUGUUUGAAAGGAGGUUUCAUUCCCCACACAGCCCCUCAGGGAAGCUCUCCCUCUCUGGAUUUGUGCAUGACAGAGCCAGAACCUGGGCAGCCAGGCAGCAUUUCAUCUUCCCAGCUCAGCUGGCGCUGAGUUUCCCAAGUGAGCAGAUGACCACAAGUGAGGUGUUGCAAGCUGAUCCUGGGGAGGUAUCUCUGCAGGAAGCAUAAGGGCAUGCUGUGCAGGGAGCCCUCCUCCUCCUACUCUCCCCAUGCCAUCAUGUGCUCCAGCUGCCCAGCAGCACUUUUCAGAAACAGAUAAGCAUCAUCUUGAACUCAUUAAAAUUGUCUUAAUCUCUUACAGCUUUUUUUUUCUUUUUUCCACAAACAAGCUGUGUUUACCCUCCCCUCAUCUACAAAAUAAGGGUGAUAUCCAGCGAUCUGAUAAGCCCUCAAGAUAUUUAUUUUAAUACACUGGCCUUUCACUUCUGAAGAUUAGAGAGUCAGUCCUCUGGGGGCUGAGAAAGCCUUAACAGUGAAAUUCAAAGUGGCUUGGAAAUGUUUUGGUUUGGAUUCAUUAAAUACCUUACAUGUGUGAAAGACUCAUCUGCUAGUGUGUCCAGUAGCACCAUUGCAGCAAGAUGUAUUCUGGAACUGCUUUUUACCUGAGACACUUGUGGUGUUCAAAAUGCCUGGCUCGGCAGUGUGAAGAUGGGUGACCCCUGCCUUCGGUCUGCUCGUGCUCCCGAGGCGUGACACUGCAGGCUGUGUGCUGCACAUGGGGGUAAAGCUUUAGGGGAGACCAGCACUAGGCAGGAUCUGCUUAACAUGCCCCUUGGGCAAUUUGGCACGUCUGUCCUGCUGGCAAAACCAGUCUCCAUUUGUAUGCUUCUCAGAGGCAACCUGAGACUCCUUGUCCCUGCUGGCUGUCCCUGGAAGACCCCAGCAGAGCAGGCGUCGUGAGGGAUGAUGCUUCGGAACUACUGGGAAUAUUUCAGCGUUGGAAAUUGAUAGCUUCAGAAAGUAACCUCUAACCAUUCCUCCUUGGCUGCAAAGGCUUCAGUGAACAGCUUUGGCAGGAGCAGAUGCCCAACUAGCCACGAGAAAGAGUGGCUUUUCGCCUCUGUGUCUACCAGAGAGAGAUACCCAAACCAGGGAUGAAGAAAUCUGAGGGACUGACACAGCCUCCAGAAUCACUUCUAUGGAUUAAAACUUAGAAGAUAAGAUAAACAGUUAUACAGAACUCUUUAUUGCAACAGUUUAUUUUUCCCCUCAGUGCAAGUUCAUGCUGUCACACCAGACUGAGCCUUUCCCAUCCAAAGACAGAGGAAGGCUUCCACAAUCCCCUACACACCUGCAGGGCCUCAGCUUCCUCUGGGUAAGGUAAAAGCUCUAUGGGCAGUGAAGGAAACAUCUUGUGUCGAGUCUCGGCCUGGCCAUGGCUCAGAGACUGCUGCCCCUUGCCAGGAUCAGCCAGGAGGAAGCACACUAGAGUGGGUGGGAGCUCAUCCAUUGUGUGCUGGGCCAUGUGGGGAAACAAGGGAAUGAAGAGGACAGAAAGCUCUUUCUACCUGAUUAAGGCACUUUGUUUUGGCUACUGGAGGAUGCUUUCCCUUUUAACUUACAUUAAUGUGGAUUGUCUACAGGAGACAGCAGAGGUAGAGCUUAGUAUUGCAACCUAACCAACCCUCCCUGUUUAUUUAUUUUUCUUCAUUAUUCUCUUAGUGUGAUGGUAACACCAUGGAGCAAAUUCAUUGCAAUAAAGAACAGAAACAAAGUUCCAGUUUCCUCAGCACCAAUGCAUCAUGAGAAAUUAAACCUAACGCUCAUUUCCUAGAAUAGCAUUAAGUUCUAUGAAGAAAUGAAUUGUUCAGCUGGCUUCUUAAUCUAGAUGACAGUUUUAUUACAAUUAAAAUAUCACCUCUAGGAGGCCCUUUGUUUGCAUUUGACAGAUUUUAUUGUGUUUAUAUAGGCUAAUGAAGCAGAAUGAAAUUAUGGAGCUUAUAUUAAAUUUAAAUGACUGAUUUAUUGUAUUUAAAACCUAAAAUUUAUCAUGCAUGUACUUUAAUGCCACGCAAACUACAUUAGUUCACCACUGUUUUAUAUUUUCAGUGAUUUGCCCAAUUGAAUAAAGCUUUGUGAGUGCACUAAAAUAAGGUGAA